rnacentral:rRNA from 1 species
GUGGGGAAUAUUGGACAAUGGGCGAAAGCCUGAUCCAGCCAUGCCGCGUGUGUGAAGAAGGUCUUCGGAUUGUAAAGCACUUUAAGUUGGGAGGAAGGGCAGUAAAUUAAUACUUUGCUGUUUUGACGUUAUCGACAGAAUAAGCACCGGCUAACUCUGUGCCAGCAGCCGCGGUAAUACAGAGGGUGCAAGCGUUAAUCGGAAUUACUGGGCGUAAAGCGCGCGUAGGUGGUUCGUUAAGUUGGAUGUGAAAUCCCCGGGCUCAACCUGGGAACUGCAUUCAAAACUGACGAGCCAUAGUAUGGUAGAGGGUG